UACGGAAGGCAGCAGUGGGGAAUAUUGCACAAUGGGCGCAAGCCUGAUGCAGCCAUGCCGCGUGUAUGAAGAAGGCCUUCGGGUUGUAAAGUACUUUCAGCGGGGAGGAAGGCGAUGUGGUUAAUAACCGCAUCGAUUGACGUUACCCGCAGAAGAAGCACCGGCUAACUCCGUGCCAGCAGCCGCGGUAAUACGGAGGGUGCAAGCGUUAAUCGGAAUUACUGGGCGUAAAGCGCACGCAGGCGGUCUGUCAAGUCGGAUGUGAAAUCCCCGGGCUUAACCUGGGAACUGCAUUCGAAACUGGCAGGCUAGAGUCUUGUAGAGGGGGUAGAAUUCCAGGUGUAGCGGUGAAAUGCGUAGAGAUCUGGAGGAAUACCGGUGGCGAAGGCGGGCCCCCUGGGACAAAGACUGACGCUCAGGUGCGAAAGCGUGGGGAGCAAACAGGAUUAGGAUAACC
rnacentral:rRNA from 1 species